AGAUGACGACAAUCUAAAGCACCCAAGCAAUGCAAUUAAACUUGGCUUUGACAUCAAACAUGAUUUCUGGAAAAUUUGAUCGAGCAAUAAUACAGGGAGACCAAAAAGCAUAUGGUGAAGGGGAAGUCCUCCUGCAGGCAAUGGCAAUCUACUGGGCAACAGGAGUAACAAAAUGGCCAAAGUUCUUCCGCAGCAGAGGAUGUAUAGGAAAAGUUUGAGCACUUGAAAGCUGCCAUUGCUGAUUUUGAUUUGUCUAAAAAGGACCUGGAAACUGUUUGUAGAAUGUAGGAGGUUUUUUCUGCAAGUCUACUCCUGUACAAUCAAAGGCGACCUGGAGAACUCUAGGCUAUUGGAUUGACAGACUACAAAGAGUGACAAGAGGAGGAAGAUGUCAAACAUUUGAUUGGAGAUUGUACAGCAUUUGAAAGGAAACUGUUAGAGAACCAGGUGGUUAUCACAGUGUGAGGAAAGACCAGAAGAGGAGUACCUAUUAUAAUUCCAGCAGAUGCAAGGAAACCGACUGACUACCUCACAAAUGAAUGGGUUAGAAGAGAUGCAGGGAUCCUGGAAAAGAAUCUUUGGUGUUUGCCUGAAAAGGUCUUUGAUCCAAAUGAAAUGGAAUGGGUUAUCAAUCAUAUGGGCCACUCACUUGACAAUCAUUAGAUACAUUACAGGUGCACAGAUGAUGUCUUAGAAGAAACACAAAUAGCCAAGAUACUACUACUACAAGACCGUGUGGGAGUUUUGGACAAAUCCCUACAAGACAUCCAAAUAGAAGACCUUAUCCAGGAGUCAUCAUUAGCUGAAGGGGAUGAAUAUGAGGAUUUACACCAUAUGACAUCACCUGACAUUGUGGGUGCCAUUGAGCUAUGUGAUUAUUCUGUGUUAAAUAUCGCCGAAAAAUUUUAUGAUGAAUAUAUAUUGAAGCCCAUUAAAAAACGAAAGUCUGCUGCUCUUCAAUAAACAGAAAAAUACCUUGACCCAUUUUCAAGGUCACAGGGAUAAAUGUUUUAAUAAUCUUGGAAAUGAUUUCUUCUUAAUAUCCAAAAAAAGUUCUGGUGAGCGGCCCGUAGUAUGCUGGAAUGAAUUAUGUUCAUGUUAUCUAUAUUUUCACUUUUUAAAGGUCAUAAGGGUCAAAUUUGUUAAAAUCUUUUAAUGACUUCUUGUCAAUUACAAAAAGGUCAAGGCUGUUAAAAUUGGUUUUUCAAUGUUAGUGGAUGAAGGACAAUCGUUUUGUUCAAAUGAUUGACCUUGACCUAUGUUAAAGAUCUUUUUGGUUAAGCGAGUUUAGAUUAAAUUUUUUUUAAUAAGCAAUAGGUUCGGAAUAAUAGCAUUUGUGUAGUAGCAUGUAUAAAGAGUGAUUUUUAGAUUUGCAGAAAAUGUUUCUAUGACCAAACAGUAUCUUUGUAUGCUGUAGAGUAGUUGAGAAUGCCCAUGGGCCUCCUGUUUAUAAACCAUUGGCAGGGUUGUUAUAACUUUAAUUAAACAGCAUUUCAUACAAACAGCACUUCAUACUAGAUAGUAAAGAGUUGGAAAGAAUUUCUUGCAUUUUGCCCAUCUAUUGUAAAUUAAUAUACAUCUUUUACUUCUUUUGAAAACCCCUGAGCCAAUUUUAAUGAAAUUUGGUAGAUAUUUUCAUGGCCAAUGGAAUGAAGUACAAUGUCUCCGAACUAGGGGACUUUGGCAGUGUCGAAUUGCAUAAAAUUUUCAAAAUCUCCAACACUCAGAUAUGGAAGAAUCAAAUACUUUUCAUAGAUAGAAGGGUUUUUGAGAUGCUUUAACCCAAAUUAUGAUUUUCACGAUCCUUACAUUUUCCCGUGGGGAGGGGAAUUAAGUCAGCUCAUAUAGAUUUUUUUAGAAUCCAUAAUAUAGGAUGACCGUUAAUUAUGUUUAUGGAAUUCAGGUGACUGUUAGACCAUUGGGCCUUUUCUUAUGUCAAGACACUGUCAUGCAGUGUUGAAAGUUUGGUUGAAGAAUUAGAAGAUUUGAUAUGAGUUAUGUUGCUACCAAAUAGUUCUACAUUUUUUGAAAUUCUUUUAUGGUGUCCAGAUCUGGAAAAGUAAGUUUUCAGUUUUUGUCAUUUUUACAUCAUCUGACCGUGGGUAAGGUUUUGUAUUUGUUAGACUUUGAAAAAGUAUUUGAUUCUAUCAAAUGGAAUUUUGUCAAAAAAAGCUCUACACUCCUUCAAUUUUGGGCCCUCUCUCCGCCAUUGGUUAGAAAUUUUAUACAAACAUUCAAAAAGUUGCAUAAUAAACAAUGGCCAUCUCUCUAAUUUAGGGUGUGGUUGUCGUCAAGGUGACCCACUCACCAUAUAUUUUUGUAAUAGUGGUAGAACUUUUACCAAUAGCGAUUAAAGCUAACAAGGAUGUAAAAGGUAUUAUUAUUAAUAACAGGGAUCUAUGUUUGAUUCUGUAUGCUGAUGAUGCUUAAUUACUAAUGGAUGGUUCUGAAAAAUCUCUCAAAUCAGUUGUUAAUUUGUUAAAACAAUUUGCUAAAAUCAUUUCAGGGUUAAAAAUAAAUUUACAUAAAUCAAGUUUAUAUUGGAUUGGAAAUAAAAAAUUUUGAGAGGAACAUGUAUGUUUUUGGAAAGAUGCAAUUAAGUCUCUUGCAGAAUUAGUCAGAACCAAAAACUCUUGAUGAGCAUCUUGGGGAAAUUAUCUUUAAUCUGUCAACAUUUGAAUCUUUUAGACAUUUCACACAAUGGAAACAACAUGGAUUAAAGACUAUAUCUGAUAUUUUUGAUAAUCAUGGUAAUGUUAAAAAUUUUAUUGAAUUCCAAGGAACACCUGGUUUACACUAUUUAAAAUAUUAUGCACUAGUCAGAAAAGUAGAUAGAAAAUGGAAACAAGAAUAUAGGGAAGAAUUUCUUAAUGGAAUAAAUGUUAGGCCAUUAAAAAGAAAAGACAUACUUUCAAUGAUGUUAUCAAAAACCAAUUCCACAUUUUUAUAUUCCAUGUUUACUGCCAAAUAAAAUUAAAAGCCAAGAGAAAUGGCAAUCAGUAUUAAACUUUCAAACAUCUCCAAUGGAUUGGAGUAGUUUAUACAAGAAUGUAUCCAAUUAUACACAGGAGACAAAAUUACAAACAUUUCAGUAUAAGAUAUGUCACAGGAUCCUACCAACCAAUGAUUUAUUGUACAAAAUGCAGAUUGUUCCCAAUAACAAAUGUACUUUCUGUCAAAGAGAACCUGAAACAGUGGAACACAUCUUUUCUAAAUGUUUUUAUUCAGUACAAAUUUUUGAGGUUUACCACUGGUAUUCACACUAUGAUCCAAUUGACCUAUAUUAUUUUAGAGAAAUUGACAUCUUGUUUGGCAAUCAAUGGUUCAGUAAGUUUUUAAACCUCUUUCUCCUCCUCACAAAACAUCACAUAUACUACAGUCAAGUUAAUCAUUUAAUACCAAACUUUUUGGCACGUAAAUCUAUUUUCAAAAAAGUAAUGACUGUUGAAAAAUUUAUUGCCCAAAAGAACAACAGUGUUGGAUUUUGAGCAAAAAUGGGGAAUUUUCCAGGUCUUCUUUGAGAUAAUAUAUUUUAAUUUUCAUCUACUGGUAUCAAAGUUCUUCAGUUUUUUGUUUUUGAGGUGUUAUCAUUUAGGCAAUAAAAUGGAUUUAUGUCCCUUAAAAGUCUCCUUUAAUCAGAAGAAAUAGAAACCCCAACCUUCCCCCUAAAGGCCUCCAUCAGUCCAAAGGUCCUUGUUUGUUAUUGCAAGAUAUUUAGUGUGCGUUAUGUAUGAAAGGUGUGUGAAAAUUUUUAUGUGUGAAAGGUGUGUGAAAAUUUUUAUCAACUUUUAUAAAACAAAACUAUUUUAUUAUAUUAUAUUAUAUGAACUGUUUGAAAGUGCUGUGAAGAAGUUGUGAAAAAAGAGAUAAAAAAAUAGACUGUAAAUAUUUAUAUUUUGUACGUAUGAAUGGUGUGUGGUGUGCGAGAACCCUUCUGUGGAGAGGGCAUCAUUUGUAAGGGACUGAUCCCAGGGCCCCAACCCUGGCAGUCUCAAUU